GACAUCCCCACUGCUGGAGAGACUCUCCUGAACCAGGGAAAAAGAGGUCCCAGCUUAAAUAUCACCUCCUCGGAGAGGUCUUCCCUGAUUAUCAAGAACUUUUGAGCUAAAAGAGGCUGUGGAAUUCAUCUGUGGAAGCUGGGGACAGAGGACCAUGUUGGAACAGAAAUGCCCGUCAGUGGGGGAUGGCUAAGCAAGCUUGUGUCUCUGUGCUGUGAAAUACUACACAGUGGCUACGAGGAAGGAGAUUGCUCUCUCUGCUGACACAGCCAGAUCUCCGAGACCUACUGUUAAUGAAAAGCAAGCUGCAUAAAGAUAUUUGUGGAAUGAUACCGUCAUUUUUUGUAGAAAAAUACACACACACAUGUAAACAAAGACAGAGCAAGCGCUGGGGCUGCAUGAAACUGGCUCAGAUGCUGGCUCAGCAACUUGUCUGUGAUCCGGGGGAAGACUUGACCCUCGAUCUCAGCUUCUUCAUCACCAAAACAUCUUGCAGGUUUGUCGUAAAGACUGAACGUAAGCUCUUUGGACGUUAUCUCUGCUCCCACGUGUUGGUUUUCUUUCCCCUAUCUGAGUCUAAUGGCUUUUUCUUUAUUUUAUUUUAUUUUAUUUUUACAGAUGAGAAAACCAAAUACAAAGUAAUUAAGUCGCUUCCUCAAAGUGCCCCAGUUGGUUAAUGUGAGAGCCAGGGCUGUAUGUGGGGUCUCUUCUAUCACAAUCAAUUGGCAUUAAAUCCCUAGGGAGUGGGGUUACUGUGUUUGCUGUGGCUAUUUCUGCCAGUGAGUCCAUGUGGCAGGUGUGUUUGCAGAUGUGUGAUGGGGGCAGCGUUGGACCCACUGCACAGAGAAGGGCCAGGCAGGGAGGGUGGGUGGACCUGCAAGGUUCUGUCUGACUGUUCUCUGACGCUGCUGUCAAGGAAGCCUAGCAGCAGAUAUCAGGGACCGGCCGCAAGGGGCCCAUAGGUACCAGGCAAAGACAGCCAACAGCACAGGGAUGCGGGCAAAACGGGCUGCUGACAGUCUUUCUGGCUACCUAGAAUCUGCCUCUUCGUGUUUGGGUAAUCGCUCUGAUUUGUGAGGCAGAGAGUGCCACCCAUUGCACCACAGAAAAUGACAGACACUUCCCGGUUGCCGUUCCCAUGAGGAUGUUCAGAGAGCUGGGCUCCAGCAGUCAGAGGCACCGUCCUCAUCAGGCUCCACUCGCUCAGAGCUCCAGGGAUGGCUUCCAGGCCUAUGGGGAGUUACCCACCAGCGCUGUCAUCACUAAUUUCAACUAAAGCCCUGAGUUUGAAUUUUAACUGUCACAGACUCCAGGUGGGCUUAUGGCUGUUACUACUUUGUUGAGUGCAAACAAAGGGGAUUUUGUGUUCUGAAGCCAUCGCAUGGGAGCAAGACCUCAGCAGGCUGUGGGUCAGGGAGCUAUGCCAUGUGCUCCAUGCGUCCAGGGGACCAGCCCCGAGGGAACCAGGCCGUAGCUGGCUGCACCCCCACCCCAGGAAAGCGGGCACUUCCAGGGAACCUCCAGGGAAUGACUGGACCCCUGGUUAACUUUCUGGGAAGAAUUCAUGACUAAGUGGUAUUUUCAUCUUCCUCUCCUCCAGUUUUGGCCCUUUUUGUGUUUGUCCAUGGUGCCUGAAGACUCUGCUUUCUGGACUAAGGCCUGAGAAUUUACUUCAGUGUCUACGUGGGAGUCCAGGCUGGCCGUCUGCAUUUUUGUGAUGAAUGGGCAUCCUAACCACUGGAACAUUCUUGAACUGAGUUGCUUCUUUCCAUCUUGCAGACAGAAGGACAAACAUCUCUCCUACUCUUCUGAGGCAACGCUUCAGAUCCGCUCAGCCUCACCACCUCUUGUCUCAGCACCAGCAGUUCCGGAUGGCUCCUGCUGUCAGCGCCUCCCCUCGAGCUGCAGCUCGUGCCUCUCAUCUCCCACCCAGGGGGGUGUUGAUGCCAGACACAGAGGCCCAGGACGCUGCUGUGGCUCACACAGGGAACACUGAAGUGAGGCGGGGAGUUAACGCCCCACGAGGAGACUUUCGACAGAAGGAGACAGUUAGUGGAUAGAUUCUUCUUCCUUUCUCCCUGCAGGUGGACAGUUUUGAGAUGCGGCUUUGUGACUUCCUGGAGAAUGAUCCUGUCCACUUGAACAAUCAGUCUGACGUGGCAGCUGCCAACCCCCCGUGUCUCCUAUUGGCUCCUCCUUUGCUGCUUCGCGUCCGUGUCCCUCACAGCUGGAAAUGCGUUCCUAAUCAGGUGGAAGUACCAUAGCUCCUUGCCUCAGGCUCUGCUUUCUCAGUAGCCCAGGCUAAGAGAACACCACAGAAUUCACAGACAAAACCAUGCCAAUUUCAGCAUCAUUAGUAGCUUUUCGUCAUGUAGGAAUCCUUCCUGGCGUCUCACUCGGUUGUAUCCUAAAUGUGUGACAUUGGGAAAGUCACCUAAUCUCUCUGAGCCUCAUAUUCUUCAGGGUAAUGUGGCGAUAACAAUAAUGCGCGUCUCAUGAAGAGUUGGAGGAAUUGAGAGAAACUUGAUACGGGCCGGUGCUUGUCAUGUAGUGAACGCUCAGUGUCAGCUGCCGUUGUUAUCAUUAUGAAAAUCAGUCCUAUUGGCAACAUGACGGAGCUCUAGGGGAGACAGCAAAAGGAAAGGGCGUCCACUUACAGGUACUUUAGGGAGGUUGGAAAGGUGUGCCUGCACACCUGUGAGCACGUGUUCACGUUACACAAUAAGGCCUCGAGGGUCCAUUCCAUCAUCCAAAGAAGGCCGGAUUUAGAAAUGGAACCUAGACCCCUUCUGGAGUCAGACUUCCACGCCACGGUGAAAGGAUCCUGCUGAGCGGUCGAGCAUUUUGAAGGGCUGUGUAGGUUUAAACUGAAUCAGGACCACAGUGGUCCCAGGUUUUGACAUUUCCUUCUGUGGCUUCCCGCUCAGCGUGCUGGCACGGCCGAGGGACGCCCGGCCUCUCUCCGUGAUCCUGAGCUGUGCCUGGGCUCCGCACAGGAGAUGGCCUGCCUCUCACAGCUGGCCGUCCUUUGAUCCCAGAGUUUCAAUUGUGUUAUGUUUGGCUUUUGCUUGCUGAUGAAGAGAUGUAUAUGGAUUUCAUUUUCUUUAGUCUCUGGCUGCCAAAGAUCUUGGUGUUUGUAAUAUUCGUGGGCAACUAGAUCAACUACAACCACGUUUUUGCUGGGCGGUUUUCACGGUAGCGGGAAGUCAGAAGUGAUGCGUAGGCUCCUAAAUCUUGGGCUUUGUUUAACAUGUAAUUUUUAUGGCCAGUGAGACUGAGUAAGGUCCUAAUAUUUCAGAACUUCAUAUAGGAGGCAAGCCAGAAUGAAAAAUGACACUGUCCGCCAGCCAAACCCAGCCACUGCAUAACGCAUCUUCUCAGAAAAUCAUCCUGACCCUCCUCCAAGCUCACUUUUGUCCUCCAGGUUCGGAAUCCUUGUUAAAUGAACUUCUGGGGCUUAUUUUUCUUUGGUAGUGCAGCAAAUAUAAAAUGUCCUCCACACUACCCACAAACAUGCAGACCAGAUGUCGAUCCCUCAGGACCCUAACUGGUGUUUUCUCCCUGAUGACCGCUUAGCCCGCUAGAGAACGGAAAACGAAAAUCCAAGUUUUACUCUAAGUAUGGAACCUCAGCCCGGUCCUAGCAUUUCGAGUCUCUUUGGGUAACUCAGUCCCUGCUCAGAAACUGCAGUGAAUGUUUCCAAUCCCCUUUUGCUCUGCUCAGAGACGGCGUCUGGGUGGGAUGCACAGCAGCUGGAAGCAGAUGCUCGCUAGAUGGCCUUGGGCCGCACGCAGACUCCUGCAGCAGACGUCAGGAUCUCUGCCCAGGAGCCAGUCCGGGAGGGAUGUGCUGCCUCGGCAGCUGAGAAUGGUCAGCAGACAGUCUCUGGCCCACAGCUCCUCCAGGAUCUGCUUCAGCUGCAGAAAGACAUCUUACCAAGGUCCCAGGCUUCCCAGGGCAGCCCCUCUCCGGCCCUGAUGGAGGCGGGGGGGAAAGACCUGGCCAGCGCGGUGGGUCGCAGCACAACACAGGUGGCCAGUCUCCCUCCAGAGUCCCCUGGGGGGCCGAGGCUUUGCUGGGUCUCAUCACAAUCUCAUCAACUCCUCCCCUGGCCCAAUCCCACUUCCUCCCCCAUUCUUCACAGAUAUGGAUUCCUAAUAAGCAUCUCGCACCCCAAACUCUGUCUCAGCAUCUACUUCCAGAGCAGCCAACUCACAGAGCUCAUCUCUUCUCCCGUCUUCUGCUGUGACAUCCACGCCGUCACUGUGCGACGUGGGAGUGGACUCUGCAGGCUCUUCCCGAUGGCCCCCGGUCUCUGUGCACAGCGGAUACAUGGCACCCGCCGCAUGCUCCGGGCCUCCCGUCCUGUGGGAUACUUCUAACGACAGUCCUGAAGCUCUGCUUGGAGCCUGGUAAAGGAGGGCGGGACCUGGCCUCUCACCUCCCUCAUUUCUCUCUCUCUCUUAUUACUCACAAAAUCCCUCAAGUCAGGAGGAGCAGCCUUUUGGCUUCUCUUUGUCCCUUUUCUCUUCUCCAUCCCGGACACAGAGCAAGAUUCUACGACCUGGUUCACCAAGUCUGUCUCUUGAUAUGAUAAAGUCCCGUCACCAUCUGACCCGUGGCUUGAUCUCUGUGGUCUCUGCCUGGAUGUCUCAGGAAAAGCUUCAGCCUUUCAGAGUUCUGCUCUUUCCCUGCCCCUCCCAGCUGGCACUAAAAGAAGGGGCGGGGAGGUCCCCGGACCACCCUCCAGUGUGGGCUCCCCGCUGAUGGGCCAUGCGGUUGCUGGCCUGGAUUGCUCCCUGGCCCUGUGGUCACUGAGGUGCAGCUGGAACGGUCACAGUUUGUGAGGACACGCGUCAGCACCCACUCCUGGAACCUGCUUCCCGUCACCAGUUUCUGGGGUGGGAGACCCUGCGCUGCUCUCUGACCCCGGGCCUCGGCCGCUCUCUGGCCUCGUUGGUGCCCUGCUUACUCUUCCGCAUGUGUCUGCCGCCUUGAGCACCAGGAACCCGGGUGUGGCCAAGGCACAUGGACCUGGCCUUCUCGUGCCACCGCCACCUCCGUGCCCUGUGUCCCCACACCACCCAGGUGUGACAAUUAGCCCCAAACUGGGCCCCUCCCAGAGGCCUGCAGCCUCCCCCAUCACACCCAGACCAAGGAUGCUGGCCACGAACCCUGCUGUUUUCAAUGCUUCCUGCUCUAGGUGUUUCUGAAAGUACUUCCUCCCACCGGCUCUCUCGAGGUGCCUCCAUGCUCCCAGUCCUGGGAGAAAAGGCAACCCGCUGACCGCCUGCCUCCCUGUGCUGUGCGUCCUCCUGUAAUCCCGACUUCCUCCACGACCCGUCCCAAGUCCCGUCCAGACAGACAGACAGCGAGAGACUUCAGAGAAGUGUCCCCCUUUUGCAAAGGAAGGAAUUUACAUUCCAGACAUUCAGGCCUGAUUCUCUGCACACGAAUAAAGCUAAAAGAAAUGAAAAACCACUUAUUUCUCAGCAAAACUUGGCUUUUGAGAUUAUCUUGUUUCAAUCUCAAACAAAUAGAUAAGCAACAGUCUCCUGUGCUAACAGACAGGGACCCUUCUCUGAAGCACUUGGGCCCUAUUCCUCACAGUGUGAGACGUUGCCAGUUAAUAAGAUUUAUGAGACAUGGAAAUGUAUCUGAACAUAAUUCAAAGGAAUGUUGUACCUGUUGUAUAACAAGAAGAAUAAAUUUGACAGCAAUUCCCUCUGCCGUAGUGAGUGUACUUUGUAUAUAUUAUCUCAUUUAAUUUUCAUCAUAACCCUGUGGGAAAAGUAUUAUUAUCCCAAUUUUGGAAAUGAUACAUGAGGCCCAGGAGAGCAAACUGCCUUGCCUGAGGUCACGUGACUAACAAGAGGUGGACCAGGUUCCGUCUGUCUGACUCCAAGCCCCUUGCUCUGACCACUGUGGUUGCUCCGUCUGAAAAGAGUUGGCUACAAAACAAGAUUUUGAGGAUGCAGAGCUCUCAUUUGGUGACGACUUUUCUGGCUCUGUGCUUGAGAACCAAACUCUGAGGCGGCUGUGUGGCUCUGCUUCCUCAUCCGUCCAGUGGAG
rnacentral:lncRNA from 1 species